GAGCUCGUAGCUCAGCUGGUAGAGCACCGCCCUUUUAAGGCGAGGGUCGUGGGUUCGAGUCCCACCGAGCUCACCA
rnacentral:tRNA from 1 species